rnacentral:rRNA from 1 species
UACGUAGGGUGCAAGCGUUGUCCGGAAUUAUUGGGCGUAAAGAGCUCGUAGGCGGUCUGUCGCGUCGGCUGUGAAAACUCGGGGCUCAACUCCGGGCUUGCAGUCGAUACGGGCAGGCUAGAGUUCGGCAGGGGAGACUGGAAUUCCUGGUGUAGCGGUGAAAUGCGCAGAUAUCAGGAGGAACACCGGUGGCGAAGGCGGGUCUCUGGGCCGAUACUGACGCUGAGGAGCGAAAGCGUGGGGAGCGAACAGG